rnacentral:lncRNA from 1 species
AGCGACCAGAACUGAAGGCGUCUGCGUCCGAUUUUACAGGUUGCAUGCUCGUGCUUGGCUGCGCUGUGUACUCUGCAGAGAUUAUUUGUUGCCCCACUGCCUUUGCGGCUUGUUCGGCAGCUUGCCUGCAAAUUAUGAUAACACAUUUGGAUGGCUCAUACGCUUGCCAUCUCCACUCACUAGAAUGCUGCAGGUAAGGGUACACAUUGCUUUUGUCCAGAGGGAUGUGUGAGCCAUCAGUACCUGUUCGGCAGCACGCUGGAUGUUGUUGGCUUAUGUCCGGUGGACUUUGCAAGACUUUCUUGCUGCAAGCGUGUCUCCAAGGCUGC